CAAAAACAUGUCUUUUUGAUUAUAAUUUAAAGUCUCACCUCCCCACUGAGGAGUUAAAUGGCCGCGGUAUUUUGACCGUGCAAAGGUAGCAUAAUCAUUAGUUUUUUAAUUGAAAGCUGGUAUGAAUGGUUGGACGAGAAAAUAACUGUCUCGAUUUAAAUUAAAUUAGAAUUUUAUUUAUGAGUAAAAAAGCUCAUAUGAGUUUAAAAGACGAGAAGACCCCAUAGAAUUUAAUAUAUAUAUAUAUAUAUUAUUUUUAGAAUUAAUAAUAAGUUAUAUAUAAUUAUAUUUUGUUGGGGUGAUAGAAAAAUUAAAUUAACUUUUUUUAUAUAAAAACAUUAAUGUAUGAAAAAAUGAUCCGUUGAUUACGAUUAUAAGAUUAAAUUACCUUAGGGAUAACAGCGUAAUUUUUUUUUAGAGUUCUUAUCGAAAAAAGAGUUUGCGACCUCGAUGUUGGAUUAAAAUUAACUUUUGGUGUAGGGGCU
rnacentral:rRNA from 1 species